UGGGGAAUUUUGGACAAUGGGCGAAAGCCUGAUCCAGCAAUGCCGCGUGUGUGAAGAAGGCCUUCGGGUUGUAAAGCACUUUUGUCCGGAAAGAAAUGGCUCUGGUUAAUACCUGGGGUCGAUGACGGUACCGGAAGAAUAAGGACCGGCUAACUACGUGCCAGCAGCCGCGGUAAUACGUAGGGUCCAAGCGUUAAUCGGAAUUACUGGGCGUAAAGCGUGCGCAGGCGGUUGUGCAAGACCGAUGUGAAAUCCCCGAGCUUAACUGGGGAAUUGCAUUGGUGACUGAAAGGAUAGAGUGUGUCAGAGGGGGGUAGAAUUCAACGUGUAGCAGUGAAAUGCGUAGAGAUGUGGAGGAAUACCGAUGGAGAAGGCAGCCCCCUGGGAUAACACUGACGCUCAUGCACGAAAGCGUGGGGAGCAAACAGG
rnacentral:rRNA from 1 species